rnacentral:rRNA from 1 species
GACGAACGCUGGCGGCGUGCUUAACACAUGCAAGUCGAACGGAAAGGCCCUGCUUUUGUGUGGUGCUCGAGUGGCGAACGGGUGAGUAACACGUGAGUAACCUGCCCUUGACUUUGGGAUAACUUCAGGAAACUGGGGCUAAUACCGGAUAGGAGCUCCUGCUGCAUGGUGGUGGUUGGAAAGUUUCGGCGGUUGGGGAUGGACUCGCUGGUUAUCAGCUUGUUGGUGGGGUAGUGGCUUACCAAGGCUUUGACGGGUAGCCGGCCUGAGAGGGUGACCGGCCACAUUGGGCCUGAGAUACGGACCAGAAUCCUACGGGAGGCAGUAGUGGGGAACAUUGCACAAUGGGCGGAAGCCAGAUGCAGCAACGCCGCGUGCGGGAUGACGGCUUUCGGGUUGUAAACCGCUUUCGACUGUGACGAAGAGUGAGUGACGGUAAUGGGUAAAGAAGCACCGGCUAACUACGUG